CAGGCUGAGUACCAGGCUGGACCCACAGAUGUGGGAAGGGGACACGUGCACCAACCACCUGACUAAUACCCACCGCAGACUAUUCAGCUGAUGCAGGCAACUAAAGCUUUCAGAGCAUGGUGGUCCAUUCCAGAAUAUUCUGUGUACUGGACAACUCUAGGACUUGGUCAUUCAGCCUAUUUAAGCCAUGUUCAUAUUUUUCCUCCUUACCCUGCAGCAGUAUGCUGAAACUCUAGGGCAGCUUUGUGUGAGUCAUCUACUGGACCUGUGGGAACAGCAAGGACAAGUUCUGGACUCUUUGCCUGCUGCUUCCAGUAGCCCUCUGUACCUUAUGUGGCACCCAAAGUAUUACUCGCCAGGGAAAAAAAUGGUUGAAGCAGAUCGCCCAGGAAAGCUCUUCAUUGGCGGGCUUAAUACAGAAACAAAUGAGAAAGCCCUUGAAGCAGUAUUUGGCAAAUAUGGGCGGAUAGUGGAAGUACUUUUGAUGAAAGAUCGGGAAACAAACAAAUCAAGAGGAUUUGCUUUUGUCACCUUUGAAAGUCCAGCAGAUGCUAAGGAUGCAGCCAGAGACAUGAAUGGGAAGUCCUUAGAUGGAAAGGCCAUCAAGGUGGAACAAGCCACCAAACCAUCAUUUGAAAGUGGUAGACGUGGACCGCUUCCACCUCCAAGGAGCAGGGGUCCUCCCAGAGGUCUGAGAGGCGGAAGAGGCGGAAGUGGUGGAACUAGAGGACCUCCCUCACGUGGGGGACACAUGGAUGAUGGUGGCUAUUCCAUGAAUUUUAACAUGAGUUCUUCCAGGGGACCUCUUCCAGUAAAAAGAGGACCACCACCACGAAGUGGGGGUCCUCCUCCUAAGAGAUCAGCGCCUUCAGGACCAGUUCGCAGCAGCAGUGGAAUGGGAGGGAGAGCCCCUGUAUCACGUGGAAGAGAUAGCUAUGGAGGCCCACCUCGAAGGGAACCCCUGCCUUCACGAAGAGAUGUUUAUUUGUCCCCAAGAGAUGAUGGAUAUUCUACUAAAGACAGCUAUUCUAGCAGAGACUACCCAAGUUCUCGUGACACAAGAGAUUAUGCACCACCACCAAGAGAUUAUACUUACCGUGAUUAUGGUCAUUCCAGUUCACGUGAUGACUAUCCAUCAAGAGGCUAUAGUGAUAGAGACGGAUAUGGUCGGGAUCGUGACUAUUCAGAUCAUCCAAGUGGAGGCUCCUACCGAGAUUCAUAUGAGAGUUAUGGUUGAACCUUAUGGUCAUUUUGGUCAUGGAGUGCUGGUUUAUUCACAGUAGAUAAAGCUGGCAGCAAGAGAAAUGAAAUGCUAAGAGUUGUUGAAGCAGAAGAAUGCUGAUUAUCCCAACAGCUGCAUAACAGUGUUCAUCACAGUUGGUUUGGUGCAGGCAAUAGAUUUUAUUUUUAUCUUUGAGGGUACUUGUGGAUCUAAGGGAGGCAUCCAUGUUGGUUAACACUCAACUAGGGAGUGGUAGUUACUUAAGACGCAAGUGGAGAAAGAGAGGGAAACAAAUUGGUAAGUGGAGGUAUCUAGGAAAUUUAUGUGGCUCUUCAUGAAGAGUUUUUAAGCUCCGGCUUUCAUUUUGUUAAGUUAAAGUUAAGGAGACAACUCUUCUUGUUCAAAAGUAAAUAGUGAAUAUCAGAAUGUUGAAUUACAUGCUGGGGCUGUAUAUUGACUCAAAAGUGCACAUGCCUAGUACUCUUGAGUUUAACCUUCAGCACUGCCAAAAAAGCUUCUGAUAUCCAUAUAUAUAAGCAUAAGUGGUACAUGUUUAUCCAGUAGUAUCUGGUAAAAGUAUUUGGUAUUAGCUUAUCAAGAAUGAGUAGUUGUACAGCAAAACUAAAGAGGGACAAAUCAUAAGGGGAAACGAAACUAAACUGGAAACAUUGCUGAGGUGAUACAAAGCACACUUGAAAUUGGAACCAAAAUUAGUCCACUUGUGUAUUGUUUUAUAAGCCUACUUUAUCUCCAACUCCCAGUCACAGAAACAAAUGGUUACUGAACAGCUCCAGUUAAACAGUGCUAAUGUGAUCAAAGGAUUUGAGUUGUUCAGUUAAAGGAAGCAACUCAACUUUGGAAAUUUUUGCAUAGCAGUUUAAAGAACAUGUUUCAACACUUAUGAUUGGGGGAAAUAAUGCAAAAAAUUUAGCCCUCAUUGGUCAUAUUUCCUAAUCAGACUGAGGGUAUUGACCAAAUUUCAGUAGUUGCACUUGAAACACUAUCUUAGCUCAAGCCUUCCAUAACCUUAAUUACUUGAGUUAGGUGCUUCUAUGAGGACCUUUUGGCUCUUAAGAUUUUAUUUAGAUGUAGAUUAGUUAUAGUGUAAAAUAGAGAAACUAAUUGUAGUAAGUAUGAAUACUAAAUUUAAAGAGUAUGCUUAAAUACAACUGAAUGGUUUACUGACCCAGCAGGCUUAAUUCUCCCAUUGGGAAAAGUAUUGGUCUUUAUUCUUUAUGCUGGUUGUAAAAGAAUGAUAAAAAUGUUUUCCUUGUUUAGUAGUUAAACAUAGAACUUAGAUAUUAUAGGUCAAUUUUUGGAAUGUUUUUGUAUUAAAACCUAAUAAAAAUUUUAACGUA